AGAGUUUGAUCCUGGCUCAGGACGAACGCUGGCGGCGUGCCUAAUACAUGCAAGUAGAACGCUGAAGAGAGGAGCUUGCUCUUCUUGGAUGAGUUGCGAACGGGUGAGUAACGCGUAGGUAACCUGCCUUGUAGCGGGGGAUAACUAUUGGAAACGAUAGCUAAUACCGCAUAACAAUGGAUGACACAUGUCAUUUAUUUGAAAGGGGCAAUUGUUCCACUACAAGAUGGACCUGCGUUGUAUUAGCUAGUAGGUGAGGUAAUGGCUCACCUAGGCGACGAUACAUAGCCGACCUGAGAGGGUGAUCGGCCACACUGGGACUGAGACACGGCCCAGACUCCUACGGGAGGCAGCAGUAGGGAAUCUUCGGCAAUGGGGGCAACCCUGACCGAGCAACGCCGCGUGAGUGAAGAAGGUUUUCGGAUCGUAAAGCUCUGUUGUAAGUCAAGAACGGGUGUGAGAGUGGAAAGUUCACACUGUGACGGUAGCUUACCAGAAAGGGACGGCUAACUACGUGCCAGCAGCCGCGGUAAUACGUAGGUCCCGAGCGUUGUCCGGAUUUAUUGGGCGUAAAGCGAGCGCAGGCGGUUUGAUAAGUCUGAAGUUAAAGGCUGUGGCUCAACCAUAGUUCGCUUUGGAAACUGUCAAACUUGAGUGCAGAAGGGGAGAGUGGAAUUCCAUGUGUAGCGGUGAAAUGCGUAGAUAUAUGGAGGAACACCGGUGGCGAAAGCGGCUCUCUGGUCUGUAACUGACGCUGAGGCUCGAAAGCGUGGGGAGCGAACAGGAUUAGAUACCCUGGUAGUCCUCGCCGUAAACGAUGAGUGCUAGGUGUUGGAUCCUUUCCGGGAUUCAGUGCCGCAGCUAACGCAUUAAGCACUCCGCCUGGGGAGUACGACCGCAAGGUUGAAACUCAAAGGAAUUGACGGGGGCCCGCACAAGCGGUGGAGCAUGUGGUUUAAUUCGAAGCAACGCGAAGAACCUUACCAGGUCUUGACAUCCCGAUGCUAUUUCUAGAGAUAGAAAGUUACUUCGGUACAUCGGUGACAGGUGGUGCAUGGUUGUCGUCAGCUCGUGUCGUGAGAUGUUGGGUUAAGUCCCGCAACGAGCGCAACCCCUAUUGUUAGUUGCCAUCAUUCAGUUGGGCACUCUAGCGAGACUGCCGGUAAUAAACCGGAGGAAGGUGGGGAUGACGUCAAAUCAUCAUGCCCCUUAUGACCUGGGCUACACACGUGCUACAAUGGUUGGUACAACGAGUUGCGAGUCGGUGACGGCGAGCUAAUCUCUUAAAGCCAAUCUCAGUUCGGAUUGUAGGCUGCAACUCGCCUACAUGAAGUCGGAAUCGCUAGUAAUCGCGGAUCAGCACGCCGCGGUGAAUACGUUCCCGGGCCUUGUACACACCGCCCGUCACACCACGAGAGUUUGUAACACCCGAAGUCGGUGAGGUAACCUUUUGGGGCCAGCCGCCUAAGGUGGGACAGAUGAUUGGGGUGAAGUCGUAACAAGGUA
rnacentral:rRNA from 1 species